UGGGGAAUAUUGCACAAUGGGCGCAAGCCUGAUGCAGCCAUGCCGCGUGUAUGAAGAAGGCCUUCGGGUUGUAAAGUACUUUCAGUCGGGAGGAAGGUGUCAAGGUUAAUAACCUUGGCAAUUGACGUUACCGACAGAAGAAGCACCGGCUAACUCCGUGCCAGCAGCCGCGGUAAUACGGAGGGUGCAAGCGUUAAUCGGAAUUACGGGGCGUAAAGCGCACGCAGGCGGUUGAUUGAGUCAGAUGUGAAAUCCCCGGGCUUAACCCGGGAAUUGCAUCUGAUACUGGUCAGCUAGAGUCUUGUAGAGGGGGGUAGAAUUCCAUGUGUAGCGGUGAAAUGCGUAGAGAUGUGGAGGAAUACCGGUGGCGAAGGCGGCCCCCUGGACAAAGACUGACGCUCAGGUGCGAAAGCGUGGGGAGCAAACA
rnacentral:rRNA from 1 species